CGGUUCAAAAGUCAUGAGAUGAGGCCAAGCAAGUCGAGUGCCUUGAUUGUGGAGCACGGGGUCCUGAGAGAGAGAGAAGCCACACUGGCCCGAUGCUGAGUGUCUGAACUGAGGGGGAGUGAGAGCGUUCACGUGGAAACCUUGGAGGAAUUCAAAGAGACAAUGAGAAACUUCGCAGUGGAGCAGUCUGGCAGAUAACACUUUCACCAAGUGAUCGAAAUGAAUAGCAUCAGUCAUAAGACUGAUUGAAGUUAUGUACCACGCGGUAGGGUAUGAGAACUCAGCAUCAUACCUGUGAUACUCCUGCCAAAGAUGCAGAACCUGGAUCUGUUCAUGAAGAACCAUCAAGCAACCCCAAACCGAGACGCAUUACACAACGAAAUAACUGGCCUCUAGUUUUAAAAGUAUCAAGCUCAUGAAAGUCAAGCAAACAGAAGCCUUGAUUCUGAACUGGAAGCUUUCGCUGUGAAAAAGGAUCAUGGUGGACUGAUUGGUGAACCUAGGGUUAGAUGGUAGUAAUGUAUCAAUGUUAACUUCCUGAUUUUCGUAGGUGUAGGACAAUGUCAUUGUGUAUAAGAAAUACACAAUUUGGAGGUGAUGGGCCGUUGUGUUGGCAACUAACUUUCAAAGAGCUAAGAAAAAAUAAGUUAUACUAUUCUAUUCUUGCACUGUUCUCUAAGUUUAAAAUUCUUUCAAAAUAAAAAAAAACAAUAAAAAUUAAUGGUGGCAGUGCU